rnacentral:rRNA from 1 species
UACAGAGGUCCCAAGCGUUGUUCGGAUUCAUUGGGCGUAAAGGGUGCGUAGGCGGCGCGGUAAGUCGGGUGUGAAAUUUCGGAGCUUAACUCCGAAACUGCAUUCGAUACUGCGGUGCUUGAGGACUGGAGAGGAGACUGGAAUUCAUGGUGUAGCAGUGAAAUGCGUAGAGAUCAUGAGGAAGACCAGUGGCGUAGGCGGGUCUCUGGACAGUUCCUGACACUGAGACACGAAGGCCAGGGGAGCAAACGGG